rnacentral:guide_RNA from 1 species
CGGCAAAUAAGCUCAGUGAGUAUAAGAAUAUAUU